rnacentral:rRNA from 1 species
UACGCGAGGAACCUUACCUGGGCUUAAAUGUAGAGUGCAUUUUUAGAGAUAGAAAUUCCCUUCGGGGCUUUCUGCAAGGUGCUGCAUGGUUGUCGUCAGCUCGUGCCGUGAGGUGUCGGGUUAAGUCCCAUAACGAGCGCAACCCUUAUCGUUAGUUGCCAGCUGGUAAAGCAGGGGACUCUAGCGAAGCUGCCACCGUAAGGUGAGAGGAAGGUGGGAUGACGUCAAAUCAGCACGGCCCUUAUGUCCAGGGCUACACACGUGUUACAAUGGCCGGCACAGAGGGCAGCUACCUGGUGACAGGAUGCUAAUCUCGAAAACCGGUCUCAGUUCGGAUCGAAGUCUGCAACUCGACUUCGUGAAGCUGGAUUCGCUAGUAAUCGCGCAUCAGCCAUGGCGCGGUGAAUACGUUCCCGGGCCUU